rnacentral:lncRNA from 1 species
GCCCAUGUUAGCAGUGACUACAGACUGGAUAUUAUCUAAACUCUCGGUGAAUCACAGCUGACAGUGCUGCUAUUUCUAAGCCACAGAAUCACUCUUUGAACAAAAUGCAAGCGCUGUGUCUUUUCAACCUGUUCUUCAACAGCCCAAGCAGCAGGAUUCCAGCAGUGUAUAAUAACUGUCAGAAACAAUUUCUGCUCUGUAAGUGAGGUGAAGCAAAAUGUCAAAAUAUUUGAAUACAUUUCAUUGAGGAUAUCUUCUUUUAAAUUAGUGAAGGCUAGAGAAGAAGAAUCCCAUUCUCUCGCAUAAUAAAUAUGCAUGGAACUGAGGAGCCACGUGCAUUCUAAUAAAGCCGAGUCCUGGCUUGUUAAUGCGUUAUAGGUCCACAACAAUAAAACACAAUAAUUACUAGUUAAAGAGAUGCCAGUGUUGGCCUUUUACCAACACCCCUGAACAUAUAAUUCAUAAUAAAUUUAGUAAGGCUGAAGUCGGCCUGUUAAUUAACCUAUUUUCUGCAGUGCCUGGGAUGGAGGAAAUGAUUGUGAGAUCCGGCAAGGCGCCCUCCCAAAUUUGCACAUAUCAUCAUUGGCUGGAAGGACUCUGCAAUUUGGACUCAGGAGCCUCGCCACAGAGUCCUUCCUUGUGCUAAUACAGAGAUCCAGUGGGCCCGGGCCUCCAUCCCAAAGCAUGGAGUGGGUGGAGAAGGUGGGUGGCUGAGACGAAGUGGCCUCCUUUCUCGGCCUCAUCUGGUUCUGUGAAGUUGCUGCUGCCUGCUGUGUGCAAUGGUGACCAGGACUGAGGCUGAUGUCGCAUCACCGGAUAGCACACGAGAUGUCCUUUGGGUAUCCUGCCCAACUUCCUAGGUUUGUUUUCUUUACAGCAAAGCACACCCCACUUCUGCGAACUGGCCCUGGGGAGAGAGCAAGUGGUCUGGCUUUGUGAGGAAUACAAGGGAAAUGUAAGUGUCAUUGGCCAGCCCCCGACCUUCUUCCCUAUUACACUUCCCAUAGACUUCAAUGGGUCAUGGGUCUCAAGAGCAGCACCUUGCAUGCUGGAAGACUGGGAAGACAGAUUAGG